rnacentral:rRNA from 1 species
UACAGAGGGUGCAAGCGUUGUUCGGAUUCAUUGGGCGUAAAGGGUGUGUAGGUGGCGCGCUAAGUCGGGUGUGAAAUUUCGGAGCUUAACUCCGAAACUGCAUUCGAUACUGGCGUGCUUGAGGACUGGAGAGGAGACUGGAAUUCAUGGUGUAGCAGUGAAAUGCGUAGAGAUCAUGAGGAAGACCAGUGGCGAAGGCGGGGUCUCUGGACAGUUCCUGACACUGAGACACGAAGGCCAGGGGAGCAAACGGG